AAUGCAUUGUAGCAGCUGGCUCAGAGUCAAGACAUCAACACAUGAAUCAGACAGGAUGAGAGGAGGAUAAGGCUAAAGACAGAGGCUCCAGCUACCUUGGUGACAAGGAAUGGAGGAGAAAAGGAACAGGAAAUUUUAAUAAGAUUAGGAGGGCUUGCUUUUCUGCCAAGUGAGCCGCUUUCACAGGAGCGAUAAAUUGGAAAUGUUAUCUGGCUUGAUAUGCCAGUUUUUCUGAGAAAAUCACUCUGCCAGUGGUGACAGAAUGGAAGAGCUGAAAACAUCUUCUUUUUUCAAAGUCAUAUGUCACGAACCAAGGAGACUCCAAAAAAUAAAUUAUGGAAGAUUAUGACCACUGCUGCCAAGGAUACAGUGAAAUAGAGUUUGUGGCAUCUGGUUUUAACUCCAAUAUGUAAAGAGCUUGGAAGCCAUCUUUCCUUCCACCACAACAAGAAAACAGCUGAACUGAAAAUCAAUGACUUUUCUUAGAUCCAUUAAAGAAUUGAGAUUGCAGGACACACUACCACCCUGAAAACUGGAGAGAGGAAAAAUACAGAGAGGAAGCAGAUCAGCUUACCUGAAGCAGAGGCCGCUGGAAUCUGUGACAGGCUGCAUUUGUAACCAAGCCGUGGUCCUUUUCAUUGCAUCUUGCCAGAAUGAAGAAGAGCUGAUCUCUCCAGUUCCUGUUAUUCCCCUUACAUUGCCCACAUUUAUUGCUCAAUAAACCACAGAAAUCCUUCUGUAACCCUCGUUCUUCUCCUCUCUUCCCCCUUUCACUAUUGAAUUUAAAACUCAUGCA
ensembl:lncRNA novel transcript